rnacentral:tRNA from 1 species
UUAAAGAUAGUUUAAAAAAAAUAUUAGCUUUGGGAGUUAAUGAUCAAAGGCUUGCUUUGUCUUUAAA